rnacentral:lncRNA from 1 species
AAUUGGCCCUUUUUAAAAAAACAAUAUAAGCCAGAUUUGCUAUUACUAAUUUGACAUAAUCUGGAAAAUUGUAUUUUGCUCUUGUUUUCUGCAAUGUGCUCAAUUAUAGUGCUUCAAAGGUGAAUGAUAUAAUCAAACUGACAAAGCUGCUGCCUUUCAUAACGUGGUUUUUCUUCUGUACAUCACUGGGACAUGUCUCCAUGUAACGGUGCCUCACCUCAGUUUUUUCUAUCUCAACCUACCCAUCAAAAGGUGUCCCUUUGUUGCUUUUAAUUCCUUCAGACAAGAAUUCACAUGAAUCAAUAGAGAAGGAGAAUACAGACAGGAAAUAUAAAGAACAUUCUGAGAAAAUUAGGUUAAAUCUGGAAUGGAAUACUAGAUGAUUUUGACGGUGCAAGAACUCCAGAAAUGGUCAUCAAGAUCCAAGUUCCAAGCUAUUUCUAGCGUCUUCAUCCACCUUCUUUCACUUGUGGCUUUUAUCCUCCUGUCCAUAACAUUUCUGUCCCACCCCCCAGGCAUCAUGGCUACAUUCCUGGAAGAGAGAAAGAUACAAGAUUCUAUAUUUAUAUUUUUUAUUUUCAUCUGGUUGGAGGAGAAUUGAAAUUUUACUUCUCAUGGAAGGUCUGCAAAACUCUUCAGUCAUAUUGAGCUAUUUUACACGAGGAAAUGCAGACAUGCUAAGGUCAAGUGAUUUACCUCCAUCAUACGACUAAUCAAUACCAGAGCAAGGAGGAGACCACAGUCACAGGACUCACUCAGUGUGCCAAGCCUUAUUAAACAACGCAGACUCGUGUAUAUCGGAUACGCGGACUGAACUAUUGAGACUGGACCGCUCAUUUCCACCCAGGUGGAAAUGUGUGUACAAGGCCUGUUAAACAUGAUAUAUUCCUAAUGUACUGCAAUUACCGAAACACCUGUGGCCUAGAAGUCGCUGUGUUCUGGAGGGAAAAGGCUUCGCUCAUUCAAAUAGUUUGCUUCACAUUUCAUUGCCUUUACCUGCGGUUAUAUGACCUACUGGUUCCACAUUAACGUAAGUCACAAGAACUGGUGCUUAAUUAUAGUGACUGAGGUGUGACUGUGUUGAUUUGUGGGUUUUAUUUUUCUUUCUUAGAUUUUUUUGGUAGUUUCAGUAGCCUGUUAUGAAAAAAAAAUAUGUUGCAACUGUGUUCAACAAUUCUGAGAAAGCCAUCUGCCUAAGAUAUCACUGAAUGGUAAAUACUCCCACUAAAAUAGGAUUCAACAUCCACCUAGAAUCUGGAAAUUUCCCCCGUAAGUCCUCUAGUUCAAUCACACGCCGCAGGCACUUGCCCCACAACAGGUGGGAAUCCAUUUGAGAGAGUGAUCCAAAGGGCAAUUCUCUUU